rnacentral:rRNA from 1 species
AAUACGUUCCCGGGCCUUGUACACACCGCCCGUCACACCACGAAAGUCGGCAACACCCGAAGUCGGUGGCCCAACCGUAAGGAGGGAGCCGUCGAAGGUGGGGUCGGUGAUUGGGGUG